rnacentral:rRNA from 1 species
GAUGAACGCUGGCGGCGUGCCUAAUACAUGCAAGUCGAGCGAACAGACGAGGAGCUUGCUCCUCUGACGUUAGCGGCGGACGGGUGAGUAACACGUGGAUAACCUACCUAUAAGACUGGGAUAACUUCGGGAAACCGGAGCUAAUACCGGAUAAUAUCUUGAACCGCAUGGUUCAAUAGUGAAAGACGGUUUUGCUGUCACUUAUAGAUGGAUCCGCGCCGCAUUAGCUAGUUGUUAAGGUAACGGCCUACCAAGGCAACGAUGCGUAGCCGACCUGAGAGGGGGAUCGGCCACACUGGAACUGAGCCGCGGUCCAGGCGCCUACGGGACGCAGCAGUAGGGAAUGUUCCGCAAUAGGCGGAAACUUGGCGGAGCAACGCCACGUGAGUGAUGAAGAUCUUCGGUGCGGAAAACUCUGUUAUUGGUGAAGAACAAAUGUGUAAGUAACUAUGCACGUCUUGACGGUACCUGAUCAGAAAGCAACGGCUAACUACGUG